GAUUCCUGUACUGCGGUAUGACAGAACUGUGGGGACACGUAAGGAAAGCGGAAGCCGGGAAUGGAAAGCCCGGUGCAAGCGGGGUACCAGUCACUUUGGCAAAUCCGGGUGGCAAUGGGAAGCCGUGAUGCGGAGUGAAAUAAAGUAGCGAAGUCCGUGAGCCAUGCGUCAAGAAAAGCCGCUAUCGUUCAUACCGUACCCGUACCGUAAACCGACACAGGUGGAUGAGGAGAGAAUCCUAAGGCCGGCGGAAGAAGCAUUGUCAAGGAACUCGGCAAAAUGGCCCCGUAACUUAGGGAUAAGGGGUGCCUGGGAAACCAGGCCGCAGAGAAUAGGCUCAAGCAACUGUUUAGCAAAAACACAGGUCUAUGCGAAACCGAAAGGUGAGGUAUAUGGGCUGACGCCUGCCCGGUGCUGGAAGGUUAAGAGGAGAGGUUAGCGCAAGCGAAGCUUUGAAUUUAAGCCCCAGUAAACGGCGGCCGUAACGAUAACGGUCCUAAGGUAGCGAAAUUCCUUGUCGGGUAAGUUCCGACCCGCACGAAAGGCGUAAUGAUUUGAGCGCUGUCUCGACAAUGCAUCCGGUGAAAUUGAAGUACCAGUGAAGAUGCUGGUUACCUGCGCCAGGACGGAAAGACCCCAUGGAGCUUUACUCCAGUCUGGUACUGGGACUCGGUAUUGCAUGUACAGGAUAGGUGGGAGGCUAGGAGAUGGUAACGCCAGUUGCCAUGGAGCCGCUGUUGGGAUACCACCCUUGCAGUAUUGGGUUUCUAACCAGCCGCCGUGACCCGGCGGUGGGACAAUGCCAGACGGCGAGUUUGACUGGGGCGGUCGCCUCCGAAAGGGUAUCGGAGGCGCCCAAAGGUUCCCUCAGAAUGGACGGAAACCAUUCGAAGAGUGCAAAGGCAGAAGGGAGCUUGACUGCGACACCGACGGGUGGAGCAGGUACGAAAGUAGGGCUUAGUGAUCCGGUGGUAUUAAGUGGGAAUGCCAUCGCUCAACGGAUAAAAGCUACCCUGGGAUAACAGGCUUAUCACUCCCAAGAGUUCACAUCGACGGAGUGGUUUGGCACCUCGAUGUCGGCUCAUCGCAUCCUGGGGCUGUAGUAGGUCCCAAGGGUUGGGCUGUUCGCCCAUUAAAGCGGUACGCGAGCUGGGUUCAGAACGUCGUGAGACAGUUCGGUCCCUAUCCGGCGUGGGCGUAGGAUAUCUGAGAGGAGCUGUCCUUAGUACGAGAGGACCGGGAUGGACGGGCCGCUGGUGCAUCGGUUAGACUGCCAAGUCUACGGCCGAGUAGCCAAGCCCGGAAGGGAUAAACGCUGAAGGCAUCUAAGCGUGAAGCCCCCCUUAAGAUGAGAUAUCCCAUUCGAAAGAAGUAAACCCCCUUGAAGACGACGAGGUAGAUAGGGCAGAGGUGGAAGUGCAGCAAUGCAUGGAGCUGACUGUUACUAAUCGGGUGAGGGCUUGACC
rnacentral:rRNA from 1 species